rnacentral:tRNA from 1 species
GUUGCGGUGGCCGAGUGGUUAAGGCGUUGGACUAGAAAUCCAAUGGGUCUUCCCGC